GACGAACGCUGGCGGCGCGCCUAACACAUGCAAGUCGAACGAGCGAGAGAGAGCUUGCUUUCUCGAGCGAGUGGCGAACGGGUGAGUAACGCGUGAGGAACCUGCCUCAAAGAGGGGGACAACAGUUGGAAACGACUGCUAAUACCGCAUAAGCCCACAGCUCGGCAUCGAGCAGAGGGAAAAGGAGUGAUCCGCUUUGAGAUGGCCUCGCGUCCGAUUAGCUAGUUGGUGAGGUAACGGCCCACCAAGGCGACGAUCGGUAGCCGGACUGAGAGGUUGAACGGCCACAUUGGGACUGAGACACGGCCCAGACUCCUACGGGAGGCAGCAGUGGGGAAUAUUGCACAAUGGGGGAAACCCUGAUGCAGCGACGCCGCGUGGAGGAAGAAGGUCUUCGGAUUGUAAACUCCUGUUGUUGAGGAAGAUAAUGACGGUACUCAACAAGGAAGUGACGGCUAACUACGUGCCAGCCGCCGCCGUAA
rnacentral:rRNA from 1 species